GCAAAAAUAGCUCAAUAGGUAGAGUAUAACCUUGCCAAGGUUAAUGUUGAGGGUUCGAAUCCCUUUUUUUGCU
rnacentral:tRNA from 1 species